UCCGAGUUGACCCCGGCAGUCUCCUGCGAGUCCCCGCCAUGACGCGCUGGCAACAUAGAACGAGGGUUGCGCUCGUUGCGGGACUUAACCCAACAUCUCACGACACGAGCUGACGACAACCAUGCACCACCUGUGCAGGGCCCUUGCGGACCUCCCAUCUCUGAGAGAUUUCCCUGCAUGUCAAGCCUAGGUAAGGUUCUUCGCGUUGCAUCGAAUUAAACCACACGCUCCGCUGCUUGUGCGGGUCCCCGUCAAUUCCUUUGAGUUUUAGUCUUGCGACCGUACUCCCCAGGCGGUCCACUUAAUGCGUUGGCUUCGGCACGGAAGGGGUCAACUACCCCCCACACCUAGUGGACAUCGUUUACUGCUAGGACUAC
rnacentral:misc_RNA from 1 species